rnacentral:rRNA from 1 species
GAUGAACGCUGGCUACAGGCUUAACACAUGCAAGUCGUGGGGAAACGGCAUUAUGUGCUUGCACAUUCUGGACGUCGACCGGCGCACGGGUGAGUAUCGCGUAUCCAACCUGCCCCUUACUUGGGGAUACCCCGUUGAAAGACGGCCUAAUACCCGAUGUGUUUCAUUGACGGCAUCCGAUAUGAAACAAAGGUUUUCCGGUAAGGGAUGGGGAUGCGUCUGAUUAGCUUGUUGGCGGGGCAACGGCCCACCAAGGCGACGAUCAGUAGGGGUUCUGAGAGGAAGGUCCCCCACAUUGGAACUGAGACACGGUCCAAACUCCUACGGGAGGCAGCAGUGAGGAAUAUUGGUCAAUGGACGCAAGUCUGAACCAGCCAAGUAGCGUGCAGGAUGACGGCCCUAUGGGUUGUAAACUGCUUUUAUGUGGGAAUAAAGUGGCGCACGUGUGCGCCAUUGCAUGUACCUCAUGAAUAAGGACCGGCUAAUUCCGUGCCAGCAGCCGCGGUAAUACGGAAGGUCCGGGCGUUAUCCGGAUUUAUUGGGUUUAAAGGGAGUGUAGGCGGUCUGUUAAGCGUGUUGUGAAAUUUAGGUGCCCAACAUUUAACUUGCAGCGCGAACUGUCAGACUUGAGUACACGCAGCGCAGGCGGAAUUCAUGGUGUAGCGGUGAAAUGCUUAGAUAUCAUGAGGAACUCCGAUCGCGAAGGCAGCCUGCGGGAGUGUUACUGACGCUUAAGCUCGAAGGUGCGGGUAUCGAACAGG